UCUCUCUCUCUCCAGAUCUACUUCCUUUGCUCCUGGCUCCUCCCUGUUGGGCAGCUGCCAAACUGCGUUGCUAUCUGUUUCCUUGAAAUGUGCAGCUCUGUGCGCUGACAGCUCAGCUGUUGUGGAAGGCAGCUGGUGACACAGAGGCCGUGAAAACAUGGGUUCUUCCGGAAGCCAACCUGCCCAGGAACCUCCACCACGACCCAAAGCUGCGGAACCUGAACCCGAACCCAAAACUGAGGUAAGUGGUGUGUGUGUGGUAGCUGGAGAUUGCAUUUGGAGUGGCGGGGUGGGUGGUCAUGGCAGCCUGUGGUGAUCCACUAACUUGCAUAAUUCAAUGCGUUGAAAGGCUGGGGUUUAGCUCAGUGGUAGAACAAGUGCCUAGAAGACUCUGGAUGUGAUGCCCUGCACCACAAAGAAAAGAGAGACCCUUUUCUUGUUGAGGUCACACUCAUAGGUUCCAGGGAUCCUAUCAGAGGGUGGAUGUUUCUGACCUUGGAGCUGGGGACAAGGGUGUCAAUCUGGCCUCAGUGCCUUCCUUGCAGCAUGGAGUUGCUGAAAGGCAAGUUAUGGGAUUCAGGGACAGAGCAGGAAGAUCCAGAAAGAUUGCUAUGACAACCAAGGUUACCAGGUGAAACCCAGGGCUCAACCCUCUCAACCUCAUUCAUAUUGGAGCACCCCCUCCAGAAUGAGUGUGUGUGUGUGUGUGUGCAUGCUCAUGAUACUCUGACAUUAAAUUUCAUAGUCUCUUUUCCACAGGAACCUGAACCAGAACCCAAAGCUGCGGUAAGUGGUGUGUGUGUGGUGGCUGGAGAUUUCAUUUGGAAUGGCCAGGUGGGUGGUAGCAGCAGCCUGUGGUGAUCCUCUGACUUGCUUAUUUCAACAUGUUGAAAGGCUAGGGUUUAGCUCAGCAAUAGAACAAGUGUCUAGAAGACUCUGGAUUUGAUAUCCUAUACCACAAAUUAAAGAAGCAAAAGGCACCAUAGGCUCAUUUCCAUCCC
rnacentral:lncRNA from 1 species